AUUAGAAAGGAAGUAAUUUAAACUAAAUUUUGUGGUAGAAUUUCCCACCUUAGUUCUUCAUGCUUUCUUUUUGAUGUUUCUCUUAACUAGGCAUUUGAAAACUUGAUAAAUAAAAAAAAAAGAACCAGUUUCAAUGCUAAAAUUACUUAAAGCUGUUAGGAGUUCCAGAAAUUAAACACCAUAAUCAAAAAAGACUCACAUAUACUUUACUGAAAGCUUCUAUAGGACUGGACGGGACUCAGAGAAUGUGAGUCAUGAAGAGCUAUAAUUUUCAUGUAAAGCAACUGGAUGUAGUUAAGUAAUAAAAAUUUAAGGUUCUUUCUCUCCAUAUGCUUGGCUGUGUUUGAAUAUUUUUUAAAUGUCUGAUAUUAUACAUACACAACUUAUUUCCUUUGACAUGAGGCUAUGUUGCCAUGAAAGCGGGAAUAUCACUGAGAUAGGUUUAUAAAUUAAGAAUUACACUUAAGGCAUGCUUCUUGAGAUAAAUAGGACCUUUCAUUAAAUAUGACUUGGGUUAAGAAAAGGGGUGCAGUGAGUAAUUAAUUGCAUAAAGUAGUGGUGAAUGUGUCAAUUAAAAUUAGAUUUUGCUACAUGUAAAGAGCUAUCUAAUUAAAUGUCAUUGAAUGAGAAGUGAGUUCUCUCAUGAAACAAGUCUGCAGCAUGGUAUUGCCAAAUUGGUGUGAUUGCUCUAUCAUCAUUAGGCAUAAAGGAUCCUUCUAUUUUCUCUCUUUUUUUCUUCAUCUCACUUACCUACUGAAGCAAUGAAUAUCACUGACUAAAUGGAUGGAGGAGAAGAAAGAUGAUGACAAAGAACCAGUAAUGCAAAUUCAACUAUCCCUGUGUUAUAGAAGCCAGAAAAACUUAAACUGCCAGAUCUCAAGAAGCUUAGCAAAAAGUCAGAAUAACCUGACUUAUCAUCAAGAUCACUAA
rnacentral:lncRNA from 13 species